UACGUAGGGGGCAAGCGUUGUCCGGAAUCAUUGGGCGUAAAGAGCGUGUAGGCGGUUCGGUAAGUCGGCUGUGAAAGUCCAGGGCUCAACCCUGGGGAUGCCGGUCGAUACUGCCGGACUAGAGUUCGGAAGAGGCGAGUGGAAUUCCCGGUGUAGCGGUGAAAUGCGCAGAUAUCAGGAGGAACACCAAUUGCGAAGGCAGCUCGCUGGGACGUUACUGACGCUGAGACGCGAAAGCGUGGGGAGCAAACAGG
rnacentral:rRNA from 1 species